rnacentral:rRNA from 1 species
GACGAACGCUGGCGGCGUGCUUAACACAUGCAAGUCGAACGGAAAGGCCCUGCUUUUGUGGGGUGCUCGAGUGGCGAACGGGUGAGUAACACGUGAGUAACCUGCCCUUGACUUUGGGAUAACUUCAGGAAACUGGGGCUAAUACCGGAUAGGAGCUCCUGCUGCAUGGUGGGGGUUGGAAAGUUUCGGCGGUUGGGGAUGGACUCGCGGCUUAUCAGCUUGUUGGUGGGGUAGUGGCUUACCAAGGCUUUGACGGGUAGCCGGCCUGAGAGGGGGACCAGCGACAUUGGGACUGAGAGACGGACCAGACUCGUACGGGAGGCAGCAGUGGGGAAUAUUGCACAAUGGGCGGAAGCGUGAUGCAGCAACGCCGCGUGCGGGAUGACGGCCUUCUGGGUGUAAACCGCUUUAGGCUGUGACGAAGCGUGAGUGACGGUAAUGGGUAAAGAAGCACCGGCUAACUACGUG